CCUACGGGGGGCAGCAGUGAGGAAUAUUGGUCAAUGGGCGGGAGUCUGAACCAGCCAAGUCGCGUGAGGGAAGACGGCCCUAUGGAUUGUAAACCUCUUUUGUCGGGGAGCAAUUCCGUGCACGCGUGCCCGUAGGGAGAGUACCCGCAGAAAAAGCAUCGGCUAACUCCGUGCCAACAGCCGCGGUAAUACGGAGGAUCCGAGCGUUAUCCGGAUUUAUUGGGUUUAAAGGGAGCGUAGAUGGGUUGUUAAGUCAGUUGUGAAAGUUUGCGGCUCAACCGUAAAAUUGCAAUUGAUACUGGCAGCCUUGAGUACAGUUGAGGUAGGCGGAAUUCGUGGUGUAGCGGUGAAAUGCUUAGAUAUCACGAAGAACUCCGAUUGCGAAGGCAGCUUACUAAACUGCAACUGACAUUGAUGCUCGAAAGUGUGGGUAUCAAACAGGAUUAGAUACCCUUGUAGUC
rnacentral:rRNA from 1 species